rnacentral:misc_RNA from 1 species
GCAUAAUGUAAUGUAAAGGACACAACUAUAAACAAAAUUGAUCAUUUUUUCCUAAAAUUAAAUGAAGAAAUCAAAAUGCAACACAAGCUGAGACCACUGUAAUGAAACAAAACAAAUUAAUCUCAUAACAAUAAUUAUCGUAACAGAAAAAUGCAAGCAAAGAAAGGAAUUGAAUUGGGAACAAUAGACACGAGAAUAAGCUGCUUCGAAGUGGCAGGGGCCACAUGGAA